rnacentral:rRNA from 1 species
GAAGUGGGGAUGACGUCAAAUCAUCAUGCCCCUUAUGUUCUGGGCUACACACGUGCUACAAUGGCCGGUACAGACGGAGGCAAGCCGCGAGGCGGAGCAAAUCCGAAAAAGCCGGUCUCAGUUCGGAUUGCAGGCUGCAAUUCGCCUGCGUGAAGUCGGAAUCGCUAGUAAUCGCAGGUCAGCAUACUGCGGUGAAUACGUUCCCGGGCCUU